UGACCUCAGAUCAGACAAGGAUACCCGCUGACUAAAG
rnacentral:rRNA from 2 species